UCAGAUUGAACGCUGGCGGCAGGCCUAACACAUGCAAGUCGAACGGUAACAGGAAGCAGCUUGCUUCUUGCUGACGAGUGGCGGACGGGUGAGUAAUGUCUGGGAAACUGCCUGAUGGAGGGGGAUAACUACUGGAAACGGUAGCUAAUACCGCAUAACGUCGCAAGACCAAAGAGGGGGACCUUCGGGCCUCUUGCCAUCGGAUGUGCCCAGAUGGGAUUAGCUUGUGGUGGGGUAACGGCUCACCAGGCGACGAUCCCUAGCUGGUCUGAGAGGAUGACCAGCCACACUGGAACUGAGACACGGUCCAGACUCCUACGGGAGGCAGCAGUGGGGAAUAUUGCACAAUGGGCGCAAGCCUGAUGCAGCCAUGCCGCGUGUAUGAAGAAGGCCUUCGGGUUGUAAAGUACUUUCAGCGGGGAGGAAGGGAGUAAAGUUAAUACCUUUGCUCAUUGACGUUACCCGCAGAAGAAGCACCGGCUAACUCCGUGCCAGCAGCCGCGGUAAUACGGAGGGUGCAAGCGUUAAUCGGAAUUACUGGGCGUAAAGCGCACGCAGGCGGUUUGUUAAGUCAGAUGUGAAAUCCCCGGGCUCAACCUGGGAACUGCAUCUGAUACUGGCAAGCUUGAGUCUCGUAGAGGGGGGUAGAAUUCCAGGUGUAGCGGUGAAAUGCGUAGAGAUCUGGAGGAAUACCGGUGGCGAAGGCGGCCCCCUGACGAAGAC
rnacentral:rRNA from 1 species